AGCGAACGCUGGCGGCAGGCUUAACACAUGCAAGUCGAGCGCCCCGCAAGGGGAGCGGCAGACGGGUGAGUAACGCGUGGGAACCUACCCUUUGCUACGGAAUAGCUCCGGGAAACUGGAAUUAAUACAGUAUGUGCCCUACGGGGGAAAGAUUUAUCGGCAAAGGAUCGGCCCGCGUUGGAUUAGCUAGUUGGUGGGGUAAUGGCCUACCAAGGCGACGAUCCAUAGCUGGUCUGAGAGGAUGAUCAGCCACAUUGGGACUGAGACACGGCCCAAACUCCUACGGGAGGCAGCAGUGGGGAAUAUUGGACAAUGGGCGCAAGCCUGAUCCAGCCAUGCCGCGUGAGUGAUGAAGGCCUUAGGGUUGUAAAGCUCUUUCACCGGAGAAGAUAAUGACGGUAUCCGGAGAAGGAGCCCCGGCUAACUUCGUGCCAGCAGCCGCCGCCGUAA
rnacentral:rRNA from 1 species